AAAGCGCGAUAGCUAGUGAGAGUCGCAGCACUGUGAACCAUCGAGUCUUUGAACGCACCUUGCGCCGUGCACCCGCGCGGCAUGUCUGGCUGGGCGCGGCGACGACAAGAAACCUUCGACGUCGCCCGCAGGCCCUCGGGCGCAAGCACAGCGGUGGAGAAAACAAGCCUUUCCCCCACACUGUCCCUUCUUGCCGCCCCAGCUCAGACAGGACCACCCGCCGAACUUAA
rnacentral:misc_RNA from 1 species